CUCAGCAGAAACAUUUGGUUUGAUGGAAAAAUCCUACUGCUGCAUACAAGAAACCAUGGCCCAGGAUAAAAUGGGAUGGAAAUGGAUUGAGGUAUGGGAUCAAAGCCCUACAAAGCGUUGGGGUCUUGUUUCCCCAUUCCUUGGUCUGACCAGGGGAGAGCUUUGUGUUUUUGCCUGCGUGCCAGGAUACCGCAAGGGCUGACUGCUCCCAAAGGAAUGGGGACCCCAGCCUGAUCCUUGUCCUCCAGAGUCUCCAUCCAAGGGCAUUUUCUCCUUAGUCGCUCAAGGUGACCUGGGUUUUCAUCACAACUGCCAGCCCUAGGAACAACAUUAGCUCCAAAGGCUUCCACAGUUGAAUAGGAGCACCUCUAUGGAAAUAACUGCUCCAAAGAGUUGGGUGAGAUACCUGUGAUGGUGUGGUGCCUUGAUCACAGAUUUCCCUAUUUCCCUCUUUUUUGAUGUUUUCCAGAGCUCCGCACACAACCGGGCUCAGCUCCAGCCCUGUUCAGCUGCCUUGGCUCCGGGAUGAGCUGUGCCGUGGGCAGCAGCCAACUCUGUGGUAAAGCCAAGCCUUCUCCCACACAGCCAUGCCAGCUCUAACUUUAUCCCAGCUGCACCCACUGUCCUUUCCUUAGGACACAACCAAAACUCCAGUGCAGCCUCAUCUCAACCACAAACCGCAGCGCACACACACAGCCUUGCAGUAAUGAGGGAGAUGUGGAAAUAAACAGUAUUAUUUUA